AUUGUGGUACGGGUGACAGGUGGUGCAUGGCUGUCGUCAGACUCGUGUCGUGAGAUGUUGGGUUAAGUCCCGCAACGAGCGCAACCCUUGUUCUGUGUUGCCAGCAUGCCCUUCGGGGUGAUGGGGACUCACAGGAGACUGCCGGGGUCAACUCGGAGGAAGGUGGGGACGACGUCAAGUCAUCAUGCCCCUUAUGUCUUGGGCUGCACACGUGCUACAAUGGCCGGUACAAAGAGCUGCGAAGCCGCGAGGCGGAGCGAAUCUCAAAAAGCCGGUCUCAGUUCGGAUUGGGGUCUGCAACUCGACCCCAUGAAGUCGGAGUUGCUAGUAAUCGCAGAUCAGCAUUGCUGCGGUGAAUACGUUCCCGGGCAGUGUACACACCGCCCGUCACGUCACGAAAGUCGGUAACACCCGAAGCCGGUGGCCCAACCCCUUGUGGGAGGGAGCUGU
rnacentral:rRNA from 1 species